GGAGUUGGUUGGGCAGUCGCUAUAGAGUUUUUAUAGAGGAAAGUCCGGGCUUCAUAGGACAAGGUGCCAGGUAACGCCUGGGGGGCGUGAGCCUACGGAAAGUGCCACAGAAAAUAUACCGCCUUUAAUUAAGGUAAGGGUGAAAAGGUGUCGUUAAGAGCGCACCGCACUACUGGCAACAGUAGUGGCAGGGUAAACCCCACCUGAAGCAAGACCAAAUAGUGGAACGCGAUGUGGUCCGCAUCAUUCCCGGGUAGGUCGCUAGAGGUGCUUGGUGACAAGCAUCCCAGAUGAAUGGCUUUGCCUCAUUGGCUAUAUAAUCAGUGAACAGAACCCGGCUUAUAGACCAACUCCUUUC
rfam:Candidatus Thiomargarita nelsonii contig_624, whole genome shotgun sequence.